rnacentral:rRNA from 1 species
UGGAUGAGGCAUGCAAGUCGAAUGCAUUUAGUUGCAUGGCAGACGAGGUAGUAACACGUAGGAACGUACCCAGAAGUCGGGCAUAACCUACCGAAAGGUAGAAUAAUUCUCGAUAGUCUCGCAAGAGUAAAGUUUUUCGCUUCUGGAGCGGCCUGCGCAAUAUCAGCUAGUUGGUCAGGUAAUGGCUCACCAAGGCUAUGACGUUUAGGGGAGCUGAGAGGCUGACCCCCACCGAUGGGACUGAGACACGGCCCAUACUCCUACGGGAGGCUGCAGUCGAGAAUCUUCCGCAAUGGACGCAAGUCUGACGGAGCGAUACCGCGUGGUGGAUGAAGCACUUCGGUGCGUAAACAUC